AAAAGGAGGGGCGCGGAAAAAGACGAGUCCACAGUAACCUAUCAAAUUAUCCGAAUCUAUGUUUUCUCAACUUUUUGUAUUGUAUGUUUUCCAGAGAUGACGUGCCUCACAUUGCUUCUUCCAUUUUGGUGAGAAGGAGUGUUUCGGUGGGUACCGAAUGGACAACCAACCCAGAUGAUCCAAGUCUUGCUUCUGACUGAUGGGUCUUUCUGUGGUCUCUCCUAGAACCUUCUUUGUUCGGUGCACCGCUUGAAGACAAAUAAUUGGAAGCUUACAUUGCUUACAAAAGAUUGCCUAGAUGUCUGCAUUUUAAGUUUGCAUUUACACCUCAUUCAAGUCUCACAAAUUUGCUCUUUUUCACACAAGUUACCUUAAUUGAGGCCUAUCUACAAAAAACCAGAGUAGAGAAAUAAACGAAGGUUUAUUCUCAAUUAUGUUCACCUGAGGUUAAUCUGCCCUCGUCAAAUUGCCACCUUGAGGUGUGUCAUUGUGUCAACAUUGAAGUUUCUUUUAUAUCUGAACAUGCCAUUUUCUAUUUGGGAUCGAUUGGGUUGCUUGAAGAGUAUUGUCCUAUGUCAAGUAAAAACUCACAGUUGCCAGAAAGAAUUGACUGUAUGCAUCACGGGUCAUUUAAGGAAUACCCAUAAUUUUGUGGUAGCAGCUGGGUGUAACAUUCCUUGACUACAGAGAAGGAUCUCUCUUUUCAUGACUAAAAAUCAUUAGGAGACUUCUACAUGUUGAAAUACUACAUAUCUUGAAAUAGAGGACUUAAUUACAAAAAUUCAGAUGGUUCAAUUGAGAUGUGCAGCGUGUGGUUUUGUUUCGGAUGUAGAUGUGAGGGACAAACUCGUAGCCUUCAUUUUGAAGAACCCAUCUGAACCAAAGAAGGGUUCUAAAGACAAGAAGGCAAUGCGGAGGGCUGAAAAAGAGUGACUGAAGGAAUGUGAGUCUGCUGAUGAAAAGCAGAAGAAGCUAAAGAAAGUAGUGAAGAAGAAGGGGUCUUCAAAUUCCAAGGAUGGGCCUACAAAAGUCAAUUGCAACAAAAAGAAAGCCAAUGGUUCUGAUGAGGAUCAAAGUUCACCAACUAUAAGUCAGGUUGAUGAGAAAGAAGAGACAGACAAUGAUAAUGACGACAAUGUGCAAUGGUAGACCAACAUGUCACUGGAGGCAGCCCGCCAAUGCAUCGAAGAGCAAUUGAGAUAACCAUUCCCAUCUCUUUCUGGUAGUGAUAAAUGACAGUAGGUAUAUAGUGCCUGAUCCUAAGACACUUCAACUGAGACCAGGAUUGAAAAAUCAAGUACAAGGUCGAGGGUGAAGAGGAAAGUUUAGCAAACAAGCUUCACUUGCUAUAGAAAUGUUGAUCAAUGGAUGGAUCAAGAUUGAUUUUGUGAACUUGUUUUUGAUAGUGGACAUUCAACUUUUACAUGUGGAUCAUCCAUGUUCAAUGCAAGUGUUGGAAGACUUUUGAAGUAUACCUCACCUAUGGUCAAGAUCACAUAGAAGUCUCCAAUUCUUAAACAACACAAAGGUAAUUCUUUACCCAAAUUUUGGUUCCAUGGGAUGUUUUAUUUGGAACUAAAACAGGAAAAAGAAAGAUGAGAAAAUUCUACAUUCUCUAAUAUCUGAAAUAAGAUAUUCUUUUGGUCACCUUAAUGUUUACAAAUUUGAUUCUAAGUCUUUGUUACUUGAACCCCUGUUUUUAAUUGUGGCAUACAUAUGUUUGUCUUUUUCUUUUUUAAA